GUAAGUCUGCUGUCAAAGCGUGGAGCUCAACNCCAUUUCGGCAGUGGAAACUACGAGGCUUGAGUGUGGUAGGGGCAGAGGGAAUUCCCGGUGUAGCGGUGAAAUGCGUAGAUAUCGGGAAGAACACCAGUGGCGAAGGCGCUCUGCUGGGCCAUAACUGACGCUCAUGGACGAAAGCUAGGGGAGCGAAAGGGAUUAGAUACCCCUGUAGUCCUAGCCGUAAACGAUGAACACUAGGUGUCGGGGGAAUCGACCCCCUCGGUGUCGUAGCUAACGCGUUAAGUGUUCCGCCUGGGGAGUACGCACGCAAGUGUGAAACUCAAAGGAAUUGACGGGGGCCCGCACAAGCGGUGGAGUAUGUGGUUUAAUUCGAUGCAACGCGAAGAACCUUACCAGGGUUUGACAUCCUGCGAAUCCCUUGGAAACGAGGGAGUGCCUUCGGGAGCGCAGAGACAGGUGGUGCAUGGCUGUCGUCAGCUCGUGUCGUGAGAUGUUGGGUUAAGUCCCGCAACGAGCGCAACCCACGUCUUUAGUUGCCAGCAUUCAGUUGGGCACUCUAGAGAGACCGCCGGUGAUAAACCGGAGGAAGGUGUGGAUGACGUCAAGUCAUCAUGCCCCUUACAUCCUGGGCUACACACGUACUACAAUGCUACGGACAAAGGGCAGCAAACUCGCGAGAGCUAGCAAAUCCCAUAAACCGUGGCUCAGUUCAGAUCGUAGGCUGCAACUCGCCUACGUGAAGGAGGAAUCGCUAGUAAUCGCAGGUCAGCAUACUGCGGUGAAUACGUUCCCGGGCCUUGUACACACCGCCCGUCACACCAUGGAAGUUGGCCACGCCCGAAGUCGUUACUCCAACCCUUGUGGAGGAGGACGCCGAAGGUGGGGCUGAUGACUGGGGU
rnacentral:rRNA from 1 species